UUUAAUUCGAUGAUACGCGAGGAACCUUACCUAGGCUAGAAUGCGCGUGACCGGCUCAGAGAUGAGCCUUUCCUUCGGGACACAAAGCAAGGUGCUGCAUGGCCGUCGUCAGCUCGUGCCGUGAGGUGUUGGGUUAAGUCCCGCAACGAGCGCAACCCCUACUUUUAGUUGCCAGCGGAUAAUGCCGGGGACUCUAGAAGGACUGCCUGCGCAAGCAGUGAGGAAGGCGGGGACGACGUCAGGUCAUCAUGGCCCUUACGCCUAGGGCUACACACGUGCUACGAUAGCCGGUACAGAGGGUCGCUACUGCGCGAGCAGACGCCAAUCUCACAAAACCGGUCUCAGUUCGGAUCGGAGUCUGCAACUCGACUCCGUGAAGCUGGAAUCACUAGUAAUCGCGUAUCAGCAAUGACG
rnacentral:rRNA from 1 species